rnacentral:rRNA from 1 species
UACGAAGGGGGCUAGCGUUGCUCGGAAUCAGGGCGUAAAGCGCACGUAGGCGGUCUUUUAAGUCAGGGGUGAAAUCCUGGAGCUCAACUCCAGAACUGCCUUUGAUACUGAGAGGCUUGAGUCCGGGAGAGGUGAGUGGAACUGCGAGUGUAGAGGUGAAAUUCGUAGAUAUUCGCAAGAACACCAGUGGCGAAGGCGGCUCACUGGCCCGGUACUGACGCUGAGGUGCGAAAGCGUGGGGAGCAAACAGG